rnacentral:rRNA from 1 species
AGGUCCAUGGAGCUUGCUCCGGAAGAUCUAGUGGCGAACGGGUGCGUAACACGUGAGAAACCUGUCCUGGACUCUGGGAUAACAGUUGGAAACGGCUGCUAAUACCGGAUGCCUUCAUUUUGACCGCAUGGUUGUUUGAAGAAAGAUUUAUCGGUUUGGGAGGGUCUCGCGGCCUAUCAGCUUGUUGGAGAGGUAACGGCUCACCAAGGCUUCGACGGGUAGCUGGUCUGAGAGGAUGAUCAGCCACACUGGAACUGAGACACGGUCCAGACCCC